UGAUUCAAACUCCUCAUUUUCUCUCAUAUAACUUAGUUAAUGCCAAUUGAAAACAAAUAACAUACUUUUAGUGCAAUUGAAGACGUAGUUAAUGCUAAUCAAGUCAGUCAACAACCCCCUACGUCUCAGCCGUAGAUCCCAUAACAACACCCUAUGAGAUUCUAACUACCCAAUCGUCAUCCUCUAUGUACACAUAUAACUAUGAUUCAAACUCUCCAUUCCACUCAAUGUAUACACGGGCGUUGACACCCUCCUUUGUUUGCAGUUUACAUACAACUAUAACAAAUUCUAUCAACGUAUCAUCAAACCUCUAACGGCUGAACAUGAUGUUGAAACCAUGUUGGUGUUGCAUUCCUUGAAAGCUCCAUUGGAUCCAAUUAUGAUCAAAAUUGUCCAUGCGAAGGUUGAGUCUGUCAAACAAAAUUGAGAUUGGUUGCGUGUAAUUUGCAUUUGUGCAAUUUUGGUCAUGUUGGCAUUUUGCAUCUGUUCAAAUUGCAACUUUAUUCAAUGUUGCUGGAUUGUUUUUAUUUUGGUUACAAGUACUUUUAGUUAUCAUCUAAUGCCUUUAUGUUGAUUGUUUUGUAAUCCAAACUAAGUAUUUUAUCAAUCCUCAUGAUUUCGUUUGUGUUAUAAUCGAUUUACAAUUGUUGCUACA